rnacentral:rRNA from 1 species
GAGUUGUAAUCUGGAGAAGCGUUUUCCGUGUCGGACCGUGCACAAGUCUCUUGGAACAGAGCGUCAUAGAGGGUGAGAAUCCCGUUUAUGGCACGGACAACCGAUACUUUGUGAUACGUUUUCUAAGAGUCGAGUUGUUUGGGAAUGCAGCUCAAAAUGGGUGGUAAAUUCCAUCUAAAGCUAAAUAUAGGCGAGAGACCGAUAGCGAACAAGUACCGUGAGGGAAAGAUGAAAAGCACUUUGGAAAGAGAGUUAAACAGUACGUGAAAUUGUUGAAAGGGAAACGCUUGAAGUCAGUCGCGUCUUCUAGGACUCAGCCUUGCUUCGGUUAGGUGUACUUCCUGGUUUGACGGGUCAACAUCGAUUUUGAUCGACGGAUAAAGGAGAAGGGAACGUGGCACCUCCGGGUGUGUUAUAGCCCUCUUCGUAUACGUCGAUUGGGAUCGAGGACUGCAGCACGCCCUUGUGGCCGGGGGUUCGCCCUACGUAUCGUGCUUAGGAUGUUGACAUAAUGGCUUUAAGCGACCCGUCUUGAAACACGGMCCAAGGAGUCUAACAUGCUCGCGAGUGUUAGGGUGGAAAACCCUUGCGCGUAAUGAAAGUGAAAGUUGGGACCUYUGCGAGGAGGGCACCGACGCCCGKCCCUGAAGUUUUCUGACGGUGCUGCGGUAGAGCGCGUAUGUUGGGACCCGAAAGAUGGUGAACUAUGCCUGAAUAGGGCGAAGCCAGAGGAAACUC